rnacentral:tRNA from 1 species
GGGCGUAUAGCUCAGUGGUAGAGCGCGUCACUGAUAAUGACGAGGCCGAAGGUCCGAUCCCUUCUACGCCCACCA